GCCAGCAGCCAAAUCACCCUGUGACUCACAGCUGACAACUGAUUGAAGCACUACAGGUGUGAGCCUGGUCAGUACCUGGAUGGGAGACCUCCUGGGAAAAUUAAGGUUGCUGCUGGAA
rnacentral:rRNA from 1 species